rnacentral:piRNA from 1 species
UUAUCAGAAAAAAAUUAGCAAUGUUGGGUUC